UCCACUUUUAUUUCAGAGACAGAAAGAAACCUCACUCUAUCCUAACAGCAAAAAGAAGCUAAAAAAGGAAAAAGUAUAUGUAUAGUUGUUAAAGUCUAUUUGAAAGCUGAAGAGAAACAGUAAUCUACAAACCCGCGUUUCAGAAAUCAACUAGCUUCUUCGGAAAGAGGAGACUAAGGACUGUUUCAUCGCUGGUGGUAAAGUGGGAGAAGGAAGAAUCCACUAUGGGCAGGCAUAAGGAGGAAACAAUUAAAGAUUUUUGAAACUUUUAAUGUUUAUAUAUAGGUUGGCAUAAGAAAUUAGAGUACUAGGAUGCUACAGCCACAAGGUAAGUCUAAACACAUGAGUCUUCACUAAGUAUCGUCUGGAGAUUUAAGAGAUAUUCCUUCUAUGGAAGGCAAGGUCUUCCUAUAUACCAGAUAGCUGGCCUUCUGGAGAAGGCUGGAGAAGCGGCGCAGAAAUUUAGAGAGACAUCACUCUAAGAUAAGGAUGUCUAACCCUCAAUCUGUGAACCAUACUGGUCAGUGGUCUGCUGGGAACGGGGCUGCGCAGCAGGAGGUGAGCCAUGGACCAGCGAGCAUCACCGCCUAAGCUCCGCCUCCCAUGAGGGAGGCUUCCGCAUUAGAUUCUCAUAGGAGUGAGAACCCCGUUGUGAACUGUGUAUGCAGUGGAUCUUGGUUGCACGCUCCUUAUGAGAAUCUAAUGAUAAAUGUGGUGCGCUUGAAUCAUUACCCCCAACCUCGUGCAUGGAAAAAUUGUUUUCCACAAAAGCAGUCCCUGGUGCCAAAAAGAUGAGGCACCACUGCUCUAAGACGUUCAGGACAUUCUCCAUAGACACAACAGUCCUCCCAAGGAUGAGGAAGGGCCAUGAGACCUCAAAUAAAUUUCAGUGGGGCUUUCUAUAUCUUCAUUGCUUGCAUUGCAGCAACCUCCUAUACGUGAGGAAAAGAUACAUGACAUGAUCGGGCCAAAGUCCAAUCUGUAUACUGCAUCCACACCAAAGCCACCACUGAGUUCCUGUUCUCACUCCUGAGUUUAAUAUUCAUCACACAACUUCUAGACUAUUUUUAUUCUUUCAGAAAAAAAUGGAUUUUUAUGGUCAAAAUAAAAAUGUUCAGACAUAAGAUGUUAAUGAUAUUGAACCCUUUAUAAAGAUAAUGCCAAUAUUUAAAAAGCUAUCUUUAUGUUGAAUUUUCUCUUAAAAGAUGGAUUACAGCGAUGCACACUUCAACUUACCACUUGACAUGUCAGAGAACACAAUUUUUAAUGGGCCCUAUGUCACACAUUCACUUUUACUUGACAGCUGUUUUUUUAUUCAGUCUUUAUUAGUAACAAGUCAGAAAUUGCUAUUCAGAAGAAUAAUACAACUUUGGUUUCUGGCUUUAUAACAAAUUGGAAGUCCUCACUGUCAUCCUCAAGAUGAGAAAAAAGCUGAACAAAUUGAAAAUCAGCAUGUAUUAGAUCCAUCAGAGAUCUGAGGUCACGGGGCAAACUGCCGCCCUUCAGACUAGAAAGAUAAACAGGGGAGUACAGAGCAGCACAGUUUUCCAAGAGCAGAAGCCCUGGAGCAGUUGAAGCCAGUACCGAGGAGAACACUUCAAACUGUAGUUGAAUUGCUGGAGGCUGUAUGUGCAUAAAUAUGAAAAUGUAAAACUGAGGGUUUCCAGUCUUAGGAAGAUUCCACCACACUUUUGCAAGCUUUACUUCCGGGAACCCUAACAACUACUCACUGUGAAGAUCUGGGAAAACAUUCCACUGGUGCUUCUGGCAGGGCUUGGGCAAAAAGGAACCAUUUUGAAAUAUGCCCAGAGCUCUCUAUUUUCCUUAAUAAGACCUUCACUGAGGGGAACGAUUUCAGCAAAGCCUCAUGACUGGAGUUGUACCAAAGCCUAACCAACCUGGGAGAAGGCAAAUGCUCAACUCCAGUUCCUGUGUAGCUUUUGAAACCAUGGUGAAAGGGUUCGAACGAACUCAGGCUUACUAAAAGACUGAGAUUGAAUUAUAGGACUAAGUGUUAUUUCCCUCUUCCCACACCGUACCACCAUAUCAAUAUUGUAUAAUAGUGGAUUGUAGCCAAAAGAAUUGCAAUCCUAAGAUCCUGCUUGAAGAAGGGGUAUCUGAAAAAAAAAUCCAAGACAACAGACAAAAUAAUUAAAAAAAAAAUUAAAAUUCUAGCCUCUAACAUUACAGGGACUGCAAACAGCAAAUACACCUAACUCAGUCACAUAAAUAGAAAACCUCACACUAAAUGCCUGUAUACCUCAGUUUAUUUUACUCUAUACAUCAUGCCUGGCUUUCAACUAAAACUACAAAGUCAUGUAAAAGGCAAAAAACACAGUCUGAAGAGACAAAGCAAGCAUCAGAACCAGACCAAGAUAUGAAAAUGAUUUUGGAAUUAUCAGACUAGGAGUUUUAAAAACCUACAAUUAAUAUACCAGUGGCUCUAAUGGCAAAAGUGGAUGACAUGCCAGAAUGGGCAUUGUAAAAGAAAAAAGCAAAAGGAAAUGCUAGAAAUUGAGAAGAAUGUUACAAAAAUUAUGAAUGCCUUUGGUGGGCUCAUAGGUAGCCUGACACAUAUCUUUCUAAGGCAGUGGCCCCAACUUUUUUGACACCAGGGACUGGUUUCAUGGAAGACUUUUUUUUUUUUUUUCAGGCGGAAUCUAGCUCUGCCACCAAGGCUGGACUGGAGUGAUGCUAUCUCCACUCACUGCAACCUCCAUCUCCCGAGCCGAGUUCACGUGAUUCUCCUGAGUAACUGGGAUUACAGUGUCUGUUAUGAGGCUGACUACCUGCAAACUAAGGGUCCUCAGCAAAGGCCUUCCUGUACUCUCGAUGUUGCACUCAAUGGCCAUGAGUCUUUUCUAUGAAGGAGAGCAACGUCUGACCUGGAUCUGUCAUUCACUAAUGGUUGACUGAAUAUUUUAAGCCUCUGCCGAGACUAACAGUUCAGAAGAAGAUUUCUUCAAAAUAUUACUUCUCAUUGACAAUACUUCUAGUCACCCAAGGGGAUCUGAUGGAAAUGUACAAAGAAAUUGAUUUUGUUUUCAUCCUUGCUAACACAAUAUCCAUUCUGCACCCUAUGGAGCCAGGAGAAAUUUUUGCUUUCAAGUUUUUGGAUUUAAGAAAUAGAUUUCCUAAGAGUAUAGUUGCCAUAGAUAGUAAUUUGUCUGAUUGAUCUGAGCAAACUAAAUUGAAAACCUUCUGCAACAGUUUCGCCAUUAUAGAUGCCAUUGAGAGAACAUUUAUGAAACCUGGAUGAGGUCAAGAUAAUAACGUUAAUAAGAGUUUGGAAGAAGUGGAUUUAAUACUCCACGAAUGACUUAGAGAAGUUUGAGACUUCACUAGAAGAAAUAAUUGCAAAUGUGGUGGCAAGAGAACUAGAAUUAGAAUUGGAGCCUGGAGAUGUGACUGAAUUACUGCAAUCUCAUGAUCAGACUUGAACAGAUGAGGAGUUGCUUCUUAUGAAUGAGCAAAGAAAUUGAUUUCUUAAGAGGGACUCUAUUCCUGGUGAAGAUGCUGUGAACAUUGCUGAAAUGACAACAAAUGCUAUAGAAUAUUACAUACAUUUAGUUUAUAAAGCAAUGGCAGUAUUUGAGAGGAUUGACUCAAAUUUUGAAAAAAGUUUACUUUGGGAAAAAUUCUAGCAAACGGCAUCACAUGCUACAGAGAAAUCGUUCAUGAAAGGAAUAAUCAAUUGAUGGCAUGACCUUCAUUUUUGCAGUACUUUAAGAAACUGCCACAGCCACCCCAAACCUCAGCAGUCACCACCUUGAUCAGUCAGCAGCAACAAACAUGGAGGAAAAGUCUCCACCAGCAAAAAGAUGACAACUUGCUGAAUGUUUAUGUGAUUGUUAGCAUCUUUUUAUAGCAAUAAAUAAUUUUUAAUUCAGGCAUGUACUUUUUUCAGACAUAAUGCUAUUGCAUACUUAAUAAACUAUAGUAUAGUAUAAACAUAACUUUCAUAUGCAUUGGGAAACCAAUAUAUUUAUGUGACUCAUUUUAUUGCAAUAUAUGCUUUAUUGCAAUAAUCUAGAGCUGAACCUGCAAUAUCUCCAAAGUAUGCUUGUAGAUGUUUUUUCCUCAAUUAAAAUCAACACCAAUUUAAAAACACCACUGACAUUCUCAUUGAAGUCAGAAAUAAGACCAAACUCUUCACUAGUUUACCUCUACCUAUUUCAUGACAUAUUGGAGAUACUUGCCAACACAUUUCAGCUAGAAAAGUGUUGUUGUAUUAGAUACAAUAAAUUAAAAUAAUACUUAAUUCCAGAGAAUGGAUAUAGAACAGAAAAUUAAAGAAGACCAAAGAAUCAGGAAAUUCCAUAAUGAGUCUAUUAAUUUAACAGUGUUUCCAAAAUUGAAAUUUAAAUGAGACAAGUAAUGUACAACAAAUAUGUUAGACAAUAGAAAAAAAUAAAACUCAAGUGUGGAGGCAGAACUGAACCUAAUAAAAAUUACUACAUAUCUUUUAAAUACAAAAAUGAAUGUUUCUGAAGAAAAGCAUCAUAAAACUUUUCAGUACAUAAAAUGUAAAAAAAUUAGAAGAUUGUUAUAUAGCCAACACGAAAUAAAAUAUCCUUAUUUGUAGUUCAGAUUAUAAAGUAAAGAAAAAAAGUGACAUAAAGGGGAAAGUAGCUACAGUAUUCAUUAUGGUAAUUAUCUAAUUACCUUAAAACAUAAAACGAAGCAUUAAAAAUCAUAAAACGACAGGAAGUGAAUUAAUGAGAGUGAAGAUUUGUACAACCUCUAUACAGAAAAAAAAUUUCUUAUUUACCAACAUUUGGCAUUGUGAUUUUUAUCAAUCCAAUAGCUUGACAAAAUACACUGAUUACUAAUGUUCAUCAUAUGGAAUUCUCCUUCUGAAAAUUGAUUUAUAAUUUUGCUCAUUUUGUUCCAUUUGGCUUUGUGUAUG